rnacentral:rRNA from 1 species
UGUUACAAACCCAGGUGAAGGGAGAUCCGGAAAGGCAAAUCCGCCGGAUCGUCUGCCAGGAAAAUCCUCUAAGGAGAGUUAGGUGACUGUACCACAAACGGACACACGUGGACGAGAUGAGUAUUCUCAGGCGCUCGGGUGAUGAGUUGUUAAGGAACUAGGCAAAUUAACCCCGUAACUUCGGGAGAAGGGGUGCCCAUGCAAAUGGGCCGCAGUGAAUAGCGUCAGGCGACUGUUUAACAAAAACACAGGUCUCUGCUAAGUCGAAAACGAUGUAUAGGGGCUGACGCCUGCCCGGUGCCGGAAGGUUAAAGGGAGUGUUAGCGCAAGCGAAGCUACGAACUGAAGCCCCGGUGAACGGCGGCCGUAACAAUAACGGUCCUAAGGUAGCAAAUUCCUUGUCGGGUAAGUUCCGACCUGCACGAAUGGCGUAACGAUCUGACGACUGUCUCAACAACUCGCCCAGCGAAUUUGUGGUUCCGGUGAAGACGCCGGAUGCCCGCCACAAGACGGAAAGACCCCGUGCAUCUUUACUAUACCCUAUCAGUGAAUUAUGGGUUGGACUGCGCAGGAUAGGUGGGAGGCUUUGAGAUCGGGUUUUUGGACUCGAUGGAGCCAACGGUGAGAUACCACCCUGUGUAAUCUGUGAUUCUAACCUGCUUCCAUGAUCUGGAAGAGGGACACUGGUAGGCGGGUAGUUUGACUGGGGCGGUCGCCUCCUAAAUUGUAACGGAGGCGCUCGAAGCUGCGUUCAGGUGGUUUGGAAAUCCACCGACGAGUGCAAAGGCAUAAACGCGGUUAACUGCGAGACCUACAAGUCAAGCAGGUGGGAAACCAGGACUUAGUGAUCCGGUGGUUCUGUAUGGAAGGGCCAUCGCUCAACGGAUAAAAGGUACGCCGGGGAUAACAGGCUGAUCGGAGUCAAGAGUUCACAUCGACGCUCCGGUUUGGCACCUCGAUGUCGGUUCAUCGCAUCCCGGGGGUGUAGAAGCUCCCAAGGGUUAGGCUGUUCGCCUAUUAAAGCGGUACGUGAACUGGGUUCAGAACGUCGCGUGACAGUUCGGUCCCUAUCUGUGGUGGGCGCAGGAAAUUUGAGGGGGCUUGGCCUUAGUACGAGAGGACCGGGCUGAACGAACCUCUUGUGAUACAGUUGUCACUCCAGUGGCACAGCUGUGUAGCGAAGUUCGGUUAGGAUAAGCGCUGAAUGCAUAUAAGUGCGAAACCUUCCCCAAGAUGAGAUUUCCCAACCGUAAGGUAAUAAGGGCCGUGGAAGACUACCACGUUGAUAGGACGGGUGUGUAAGAGUAGUAAUACUUUGAGCUAACCGUUACUAAUAGCCCGUUCGGCUUGACC